AUGGUGGAACUUGCCGGGGUUUUCGCAGGACGCUCUGCUCAGGCUGUCCUUGUGCUGCUGCAGAUCGUGGCCGCUGCUGGGCCGCUGGGGACGAAACAUGGGGGGCAGCAUGCUGGAGCCCCGGGGCGGCUCAUCCGACCCGUUGUUGGGGGCUUCCAUGCACAGGUAAUUGGGGUCGUUCUUUUUGGGCAGUUUGCUGCAGUCCAACGAGUCCGGCCACUUAAAAUUGAACUGCUCCAUGAUCGGGGAGCACUUCAGCCUCGCCUGCUCGCACAUCACCCUGCAGGCUGGGAUUGGGGUGGAAACCUGCUCCGUGCACAUCGGGGCGUAGAGGGAGCACAGGAAAAAUUUCAGAUGGCUGUGGCACCCGUACUCCACCAAGGGGGCAAACUCGUGCAGCUGAAUGGCAGCUUCCCUUUGGUUUUCGUGCCCCAUCAGGUUGGGCAUCCUGGUCAUGUUGUAGCCGAUAUCCUUGCACAUGGGGAUCUCGAUGGGCUGGCAGCGGCCGUCGCCGGGCCGCUCGAUGUCCAUGGAGCUGAUGGCCGCGCAGCAGCCGCUGAGCCAGCAGAGCAGCAGCGCGGUGCUGCCGGCCGCCGGCCCCAUGCUGGCGGCUGCGGGGCGGCCGGAGCGCGGGCCGGGGGCCCCGGGGCUCAGAGCAGCGGCCGGCCGGGCCCUGCCCGCCGCAGCACCGGCCCCGAGCGCGGCGGGGCCGCGGCGCGGGCGGAGCGGGGCAGCAUCGCCCGGGCCCGCCGGGGAGCGGCGGAAGGGAAAGCGCCCCCGCUCCGCAGAAGCGCCCAACUUACUGCGGGCAGCGCGGCAACUUUCCGCUCCCCGGGCUUCCACUUUCGCGAUCCGCCGGCCCACCUCCCUGGGCUCCGCUCCUUCCCGCGGCCGAGCGAUGUCCGCGGAGCUGGGCGCGGGCACGGCCGGGCGAUCACCGCGUCCCCUCGCACAUGUCCCGGGCGGCUCUGCUGCCGCCGCUGCCUCCGGGGAUUCUCCGCUCCUCCGACGGGUCGCGGCUCCUCACUUUCUUGCCGAGAGGUGGAGAUUGGUUUAUCCGAGCGCGGAAUAAAGGAGGAGGAGGGGGAGGAAAUAUCUAAGCCAUUGAAGAGGGGGGCCUGA
rnacentral:lncRNA from 1 species